AGGUUGUGCUGAGGGCAUUUCCUCAAGAGCUUCUUGAAGCGCUCCCAAGCUUCAUAGAGAUUCUCUUCAGCGGUAUGCACAAAAGUCAUGAUGUCUUUUUUCAGCUU